GGUGUUACAUGGCUCCAUUUGCGUAAGAGAAUGUUGUAGAUGUCCGCGAGCUGCAUCAAUUUAUUUAUGCCAAAGACAUGACAACUGGUGUUGUACUCGCAAAUGACGAAGAGUUCAGCAUCCGUACUUGUGUUAACGAUAGAAGAUGAAGCUAUUGGAGUUCAGUGCACAGGUGUUGAGGGUUGGUCAAGGAUCUUUGGGAUUUAAGGCUUGGGAUCCUCACGGUAUAGAUGUUGGGGGCUGUGGAGAGAGGC
rnacentral:lncRNA from 1 species